UAUAAAGCAGACAGUUCUUCAAGGAUAUCGAAAAUGAGCCACGGUCGUAAAUGCAGUGUUCCAGGCUGAAACUUAGGCUACAAAGAAAGCGGAGACUUUCCAUAGUCUUCCCAAGGAUUCAAAAGUUCGAGGGGCAUGGAUAAUGUUUUUCUACUAGAAGAUCCCUGUAAAGUUCGACACUCCGUUAUUAAUUUGCAAAACAUUUCACCGAAGUCAUUUUUCAAAAACUUGGACAGUUUAAAUCAGGAUUUGCUACGCUGCUGUUACUGAAACGAGGGGCUGUUUCGACCGUAAGGUCAUCACAACCGCAUGCUGUUUUAUCUUGCAGCCAUGCACUUCAAUGCGAAUGCUGAGUCCCCACAACAGAAGACAGCAAAGGAGAAACUAUGUACAGACUUGCCAAACAAUUUAUCAUCAAAGACCCUCUACCUGAUUGGGAUGCCGUCCAGUGGAUUCCUGUGCCCCAGGACUUGUGUGCUCAGCUUGACAGACCUUCUAUGGAGGAUGCUGUUGCUGAACAUGAGUCACGGUUCAGUCGACAAGGGGUCUGAAUCCAACGUACUGCCCUGAAGUAUCCGGAUGCUCCCUCCAUAUGCGUAGCACCACACACGAGGGGAUCAUGACAUGGACGCUUCUUCUAAGGAAACCCAAGCAUCUGCUCACAAAAGACCUGUAGGCCAAGUCACUUUAUUGCCUGCAACGAGA